rnacentral:ncRNA from 2 species
UCAAUCGAAUAUCGAACAACUUAUAUAUCGUCAUAAUAAGGAUGACAGUUUCUAGCCAGCACCGUAAAUGUUGGACUAUAAGUGAAAAAGUAGUGAAA